AUUGAACGCUGGCGGCAGGCCUAACACAUGCAAGUCGGACGGUAGCACAGAGGAGCUUGCUCCUCGGGUGACGAGUGGCGGACGGGUGAGUAAUGUCUGGGGAUCUGCCCGAUAGAGGGGGAUAACCACUGGAAACGGUGGCUAAUACCGCAUAACGUCGCAAGACCAAAGAGGGGGACCUUCGGGCCUCUCACUAUCGGAUGAACCCAGAUGGGAUUAGCUAGUAGGCGGGGUAACGGCCCACCUAGGCGACGAUCCCUAGCUGGUCUGAGAGGAUGACCAGCCACACGGGAACUGAGACACGGUCCAGACUCCUACGGGAGGCAGCAGUGGGGAAUAUUGCACAAUGGGCGCAAGCCUGAUGCCGCCAUGCCGCGUGUAAGAAGAAGGCCUUCGGGUUGUAAAGUACUUUCAGCGGGGAGGAAGGCGAUGUGGUUAAUAACCGCAUUGAUUGACGUUACCCGCAGAAGAAGCACCGGCUAACUCCGUGCCAGCAGCCGCCGUAA
rnacentral:rRNA from 1 species